UAGGGAAUCUUCGGCAAUGGGGGCGAACCCUGACCGAGCAACGCCGCGUGAGUGAAGAAGGUUUUCGGAUCGUAAAGCUCUGUUGUAAGAGAAGAACGUGUGUGAGAGUGGAAAGUUCACACAGUGACGGUAACUUACCAGAAAGGGACGGCUAACUACUUGCCAG
rnacentral:rRNA from 1 species